rnacentral:rRNA from 1 species
AACGAACGCUGGCGGCAGGCCUAACACAUGCAAGUCGAGCGAGGACUUCGGUCCUAGCGGCGGACGGGUGAGUAACGCGUGGGAACGUGCCCUUUGCUUCGGAAUAGCCCUGGGAAACUGGGAGUAAUACCGGAUGAGCCCUUUGGGGGAAAGAUUUAUCGGCGAAGGAUCGGCCCGCGUUGGAUUAGGUAGUUGGUGGGGUAAUGGCCUACCAAGCCGACGAUCCAUAGCUGGUUUGAGAGGAUGAUCAGCCACACUGGGACUGAGACACGGCCCAGACUCCUACGGGAGGCAGCAGUGGGGAAUCUUAGACAAUGGGGGAAACCCUGAUCUAGCCAUGCCGCGUGAGCGAUGAAGGCCUUAGGGUUGUAAAGCUCUUUCAGCUGGGAAGAUAAUGACGGUACCAGCAGAAGAAGACCCGGCUAACUCCGUG